AUGCUGCAGCAGCAGGAAGAUCCAGGGCCUGUGAAAUGAGGAGUGACCCUGGUGAGCAGCACAGCAGCAUCUAUGGAGCCUUUGGAGAGACCAUGGCUAAUAGUUUUAUUCCUACUAAGGUGCAAACAACCUCUGCAAUGACAGCAUCCCUGCAACGGCACAAAAGCAGAGCACAAGCAAUGCUGCACACCUUGCACAGUCAGACUUUGCUUCACCAUGCCAAUGAGCCACCCAGACCUGUGCAUGACUUCUCACCAGCAGGCACCUGCCUGUCUGUAAAGCCAACACAGCUGCAGCUGGCUUUCUCCAGAGCUGCCUGCUGCUGUUCAGCGUGGAGGAGCUUUUCCCAAGGUUUAAUUCUUGGGCCUGCCACAGGACAAAAAGGCAUAACAAAGAGCUGCAAGAGUACAUCCUGUAGAGUGCUGAUCAAGAUCCACCUGGCCAUUCACAACCGGUUUUCAUGACAGCAAGGCCAA